rnacentral:rRNA from 1 species
AUCUGUAGGAUUAUGACUGAACUCCUCUAAGUCAGAAUCCAUGCUGGCAAGCGACGAUAUUCACCUCGGCCUGUGUUUCAGUGCCAAUAGCCUUUGGUCAACACGCUAUUUCAAAGUAUUACCGAAUGUUGGUCGAGUUAAAUCCUCUGUAGACGACUUAACUAUGGAACGGGGUACUGUAAGCAUGAGAGUAGCCUUUGUGCUACGAUCUGCUGAGGUUCAGCCUCUGUUC